rnacentral:hammerhead_ribozyme from 1 species
AUCCAUCUGACGAGUCCUACCUGGGACGAAACGUGUCUCCUGGAU